CGUGGGGAGCAAACAGGAUUAGAUACCUGGUAGUCACGCUGUAAACGAUGUCGAUUUGGAGGUUGUUCCCGUGAGGAGUGGCUUCGGGAGCUAACGCGUUAAAUCGACCGCUGGGGAGUACGGCCGCAAGGUUAAAACUCAAAUGAAUUGACGGGGGCCCGCACAAGCGGUGGAGCAUGUGGUUUAAUUCGAUGCAACGCGAAGAACCUUACCUACUCUUGACAUCCAGAGAAUUUAGCAGAGAUGCUUUAGUGCCUUCGGGAACUCUGAGACAGGUGCUGCAUGGCUGUCGUCAGCUCGUGUUGUGAAAUGUUGGGUUAAGUCCCGCAACGAGCGCAACCCUUAUCCUUUGUUGCCAGCACGUUAUGGUGGGAACUCAAAGGAGACUGCCGGUGAUAAACCGGAGGAAGGUGGGGAUGACGUCAAGUCAUCAUGGCCCUUACGAGUAGGGCUACACACGUGCUACAAUGGCGUAUACAAAGAGAAGCGACCUCGCGAGAGCAAGCGGAACUCAUAAAGUACGUCGUAGUCCGGAUUGGAGUCUGCAACUCGACUCCAUGAAGUCGGAAUCGCUAGUAAUCGUAGAUCAGAAUGCUACGGUGAAUACGUUCCCGGGCCUUGUACACACCGCCCGUCACACCAUGGGAGUGGGUUGCAAAAGAAGUAGGUAGCUUAACCUUCGGGAGGGCGCUUACCACUUUGUGAUUCAUGACUGGGGUGAAGUCGUAACAAGGUAACCA
rnacentral:rRNA from 1 species